GCGCCCGUAGCUCAGCUGGAUAGAGCGUUGGAUUCCGGUUCCAAAGGUCGGGGGUUCAAAUCCCUCCGGGCGUACUA
rnacentral:tRNA from 3 species